ensembl:lncRNA
UGUGUGUGUGUGUGUGUGUGAGGUAAGUGUGUGUGUGUGUGUGUGAGGUAAGUGUGUGUGUGUGUGUGAGGUAAGUGUGUGUGUGUGUGUGUGUGUGAGGUAAGUGUGUGUGUGUGUAUGUGAGGUAAGUGUGUGUGUGUGUGUGUGUGUGUGAGGUAAGUGUGUGUGUGUGAGGUAAGUGUGUGUGUGUGUGUGAGGUAAGUGUGUGUGUGUGUGUGAGGUAAGUGUGUGUGUGUGUGAGGUAAAUGUGUGUGUGUGAGGUAAGUGUGUGUGUGUGAGAGAUAUGUGAGGUAAGUGUGUGUGUGUGUGUGAGGUAAAUAUGUGAGGUAAGUGUGUUUGAGUAGUGUGUGUGUGUGUGAGAGAGAGGUAAGUGUGUGAGAGAGAGAGAGGUAAGUGUGUGAGAGAGAGGUAAGUGUGUGUGUGAGGUAAGUGUGUGUGAGGUAAAUGUGUGUGUGUGAGAGAUAUGUGAGGUAAGUGUGUGUGUGAGAGAUGUGAGGUAAAUGUGUGCGUGUGAGAGGUGAGGUAACUGUGUUUGAGUAGUGUGUGUGUGUGAGAGAGAGGUAAGUGUGUGUGAGAGAGAGGUAAGUGUGUGUGAGAGAGAGGUAAGUGUGUGAGAGAGAGGUAAGUGUGUGUGAGAGAGAGGUAAGUGUGUGUGAGAGAGAGGUAAGUGUGUGUGAGAGAGAGGUAAGUGUGUGUGAGAGAGAGGUAAGUGUGUGUGAGAGAGAGGUAAGUGUGUGUGAGAGAGAGAGGUAAGUGUGUGUGUGAGAGAGGUAAGUGUGUGUGUGAGAGAGAGGUAAGUGUGUGUGUGAGAGAGAGAGGUAAGUGUGUGUGUGAGAGAGAGGUAAGUGUGUGUGUGAGAGAGAGAGGGAAGUGUGUGUGUGAGGGAAGUGUGUGUGUGUGUGUGUGUGUGUGAGAGAUGUGAGGUAAGUGUGUGUGUGAGAGAUGUGAGGUAAGUGUGUGUGUGAGAGAUGUGAGGUAAAUGUGUGCGUGUGAGAGGUGAGGUAACUGUGUUUGAGUAGUGUGUGUGUGUGUGAGAGAGAGAGAGGUAAGUGUGUGUGAGAGAGAGGUAAGUGUGUGUGAGAGAGAGGUAAGUGUGUGUGUGUGAGAGAGGUAAGUGUGUGUGUGUGUGAGAGAGGUAAGUGUGUGUGUGUGAGAGAGAGGUAAGUGUGUGUGUGUGAGAGAGAGGUAAGUGUGUGUGUGUGAGAGAGAGGUAAGUGUGUGUGUGUGAGAGAGAGGUAAGUGUGUGUGAGAGAGAGGUAAGUGUGUGUGUGUGAGAGAGAGGUAAGUGUGUGUGAGAGAGAGAGGUAAGUGUGUGUGAGAGAGAGAGAGGUAAGUGUGUGUGUGAGAGAGAGAGGGAAGUGUGUGUGUGAGGGAAGUGUGUGUGUGUGUGUGUGUGUGUGAGAGAUGUGAGGUAAGUGUGUGUGUGAGAGAGGGAUGUGAGGUAAGUGUGUGUGUGAGGUAAGUGUGUGUGUGUGAGGUAAGUGUGUGUGUGAGGUAAGUGUGUGUGUGUGAGGUAAGUGUGUGUGUGAGAGAGAGAGAGAGAGAGGUAAGUGUGUGUGAGAGAGGGGACAGAGUGUGUGUACACUAGAGACUGUCCAUUUUAAAACUGGUAGGAAAUAUUCAGAGAAGGCUACUUUUCGCUGUUUGAAGAAAGUUGUCCACCUUUUAAUUUUUAAGUGCAAAGUUGUACUUUGAAUAGUUUUUUUCUGGUUAUUUCUACGUUUAUUUUUUAUAUAAAUAAAUCUUACCUUGGUUCUCCCUCAUACAGAUCUGAAGUUCACUCCUUUUGGUGUCCGGGGCACAUUUUCUUGUAAGACUUAGAUUUGUUGAAAUACUGAAUCUGGUUUCCCCAUCAACAACAGACUGAAUUUCUUUCGUACCUGAUUUCAGGGCAGUUCCACCUGCACGGUUCGGUGAAGUUGCCUCCUAGACGCUGAUCUUGGGUCAACCACUAACGGUUGAGGUUUGGAUUGGGGGAGGGGGAGGGGGGAUAAACUGAUUCUAGAUCUGUAGCUAGGGGGAAACUUCACCUUUUUAGCCUCUUAGACUGCAGAGCUGUUAUCUACUUACAGUACGUGUCACUCCCCCCAAGUCUACAAAAAGAAACAGAUUAAUCUAUUUACAUGGAUCUUUAUCUUUUAAUCUCUAGUUUUUUUUUUCUGUUGCUUUUUGUUACCUCCCAUUUUCAGAGCAGAUUCUAAGUGUUAUCGAUUGUUCCUGUAUUGAUGUGGCAUGUCAUGUGUAUGUGAUACAGUUUGGAGUGAGGCAGAAUAAAGAGGGGUUUCGUACCG